UGUAUAUAAUUGUUUCUAUAGAUCGUCAAUGGAGGAGCAUAAAAUAGGGUUAUGAAUAAAAUAAAUAACACAUUUAUGCGAAGAACAGAGCAUUUGUGUAAUGUCCAACCCACUAUUGUUUCGGCUAUUGUCUAAAUUAAUUGCUCAUGAAUAUUGAUUAGUUUGAUACGCACGCAUUUCUUGCGGAUCUUGAACUAAUUGAAAAUUUUGAUCAAAGGAUUAAUCAAUUAAUUUUCAUUUUAUUGAUUUCCGCCUCGUCCCCAACCACCUCCUUUUAAACUAAUAAAACUCAGGAGAA
rnacentral:lncRNA from 1 species